UACGGAGGAUCCAAGCGUUGUCCGGAUUUAUUGGGUUUAAAGGGUGCGUAGGCGGACCAUUAAGUCAGAGGUGAAAGUUUUCAGCUUAACUGGAAAAUUGCCUUUGAAACUGGCGGUCUUGAGUAUAGUUGAGGUGGGCGGAAUGUGUCAUGUAGCGGUGAAAUGCUUAGAUAUGAUACAGAACACCAAUUGCGAAGGCAGCUCACUAAACUAAAACUGACGCUGAGGCACGAAAGCGUGGGGAGCAAAC
rnacentral:rRNA from 1 species